GGACACGUGGUAUCCUGUCUGAAUAUGGGGGGACCAUCCUCCAAGGCUAAAUACUCCUGACUGACCGAUAGUGAACCAGUACCGUGAGGGAAAGGCGAAAAGAACCCCGGCGAGGGGAGUGAAAAAGAACCUGAAACCGUGUACGUACAAGCAGUGGGAGCACCUUCGGGUGUGACUGCGUACCUUUUGUAUAAUGGGUCAGCGACUUAUAUUCUGUAGCAAGGUUAACCGUAUAGGGGAGCCGCAGGGAAACCGAGUCUUAACUGGGCGUUAAGUUGCAGGGUAUAGACCCGAAACCCGGUGAUCUAGCCAUGGGCAGGUUGAAGGUUGGGUAACACUAACUGGAGGACCGAACCGACUAAUGUUGAAAAAUUAGCGGAUGACUUGUGGCUGGGGGUGAAAGGCCAAUCAAACCGGGAGAUAGCUGGUUCUCCCCGAAAGCU
rnacentral:rRNA from 1 species